rnacentral:rRNA from 1 species
UACGAAGGUGGCAAGCGUUGUUCGGAUUUACUGGGCGUACAGGGAGCGUAGGCGGUUGGAUAAGCCCUCCGUGAAAUCUCCAGGCUUAACCUGGAAAGUGCAGAGGGGACUGUUCAGCUAGAGGAUGGGAGAGGAGCGCGGAAUUCCCGGUGUAGCGGUGAAAUGCGUAGAGAUCGGGAGGAACACCAGUGGCGAAGGCGGUUGCCUGGAGCUUUGCUGACGCUGAUGCGCGAAAGCGUGGGAGCGAUCCGG